rnacentral:rRNA from 1 species
AUUGAACGAUGGCGGCAGGCCUAACACAUGCAAGUCGAGCGGAUGAAGGGAGCUUGCUCCUGGAUUCAGCGGCGGACGGGUGAGUAAUGCCUAGGAAUCUGCCUGGUAGUGGGGGAUAACGUCCGGAAACGGGCGCUAAUACCGCAUACGUCCUGAGGGAGAAAGUGGGGGAUCUUCGGACCUCACGCUAUCAGAUGAGCCUAGGUCGGAUUAGCUAGUUGGUGGGGUAAAGGCCUACCAAGGCGACGAUCCGUAACUGGUCUGAGAGGAUGAUCAGUCACACUGGAACUGAGACACGGUCCAGACUCCUACGGGAGGCAGCAGUGGGGAAUAUUGGACAAUGGGCGAAAGCCUGAUCCAGCCAUGCCGCGUGUGUGAAGAAGGUCUUCGGUUUGUAAAGCACUUUAAGUUGGGAGGAAGGGCAGUAAGUUAAUACCUUGCUGUUUUGACGUUACCAACAGAAUAAGCACCGGCUAACUUCGUG